UCAUGAUAUAGUUUAUUUGUCCUUCUUAGAAUCAUGUAAAUAGGUUCUUUGAUUAUCUUGGGCUGGAUCGGGGUUGAGAUCGCCUUGUAUUAAGCUGUUUUUGAAUUAAUCAAAUCAUUUUAUUGAUUAAAAAAAAAAACAUUCGUCUUCUUCAUUCUCACAACCAAAUCCCUUUUCCAUUUCUUCGUUUUCGAUUUGUAUUCCCAAUCCAAAUGGAACGCUAAAACCAUUCACCUUAACAAUUAUUCAAACCCAAUCGACAUCCUACAAUCCCUCAAAUUUCGAACCCUAACAAUUCAAAUUAGGGGUUACCGUCAUUCCUUUCUGUAAUUUCUAGUUUCAUCUUUUGCUACUCUUCUACGCUGUUUCUUUACUUUUAAGGUCAAUUUCAAGGGGCAUGUUCAAGGAAGACAUGGAAAUAAUUUAAGGACUUGUUGCUGCUUGGCUUCAUGGGAGGGAAGAUUAUAUGGUGUUACUGAUGUUUUGUUUGGUGAUUAUGGAUUUAGUGAUAAACUUCCAAGGAUAUGGUUUAAGAUUGUUGAGUCAUAUACCAUUUUUGGUGUGUAAUUUCUCUAUUUUACAUGUUGACACCAUUUUGGAAUUGUUAUGUAUGUAGCUUAGAGUUUGUGGAGUUAAUUAAAGAGAUUAUGCUUUUAUAAAA